rnacentral:rRNA from 1 species
GAUGGUUCAUUCAAAUUUCUGCCCUAUCAAGUUUCGAUGGUAGGAUAGAGGCCUACCAUGCUUGGACGGGUAACGGCGAAUUAGGGUUCGAUUCCGGAGAGGGAGCCUGAGAAACGGCUACCACAUCUAAGGAAGGCAGCAGGCGCGCAAAUUACCCAAUCCUGAUUCAGGGAGGUAGUGACAAUAAAUAACAAUCCAGGACUUCGGUCUUGGAAUUGGAAUGAGAACAAUUUAAAUCUCUUAUCGAGGAACAAUUGGAGGGCAAGUCUGGUGCCAGCAGCCGCGGUAAAUUCCAGCUCCAAUAGCGUAUAUUAAAGUUGUUGCAGUUAAAUAGCUCGUAGUUGAAUCUUGGGGCUGGUUUGGCGGUCGCGUCUUUGACGUGUACUGUCGGCGGUUCUUUUACUUGUGGGGAACCGUAUGUGGCCCUUU